GAUGAACGCUGGCGGCGUGCCUAAUACAUGCAAGUCGAGCGAACGGACGAGAAGCUUUCUUCUCUGAUGUUAGCGGCGGACGGGUGAGUAACACGUGGAUAACCUACCUAUAAGACUGGGAUAACUUCGGGAAACCGGAGCUAAUACCGGAUAAUAUUUUGAACCGCAUGGUUCAAAAGUGAAAGACGGUCUUGCUGUCACUUAUAGAUGGAUCCGCGCUGCAUUAGCUAGUUGGUAAGGUAACGGCUUACCAAGGCAACGAUGCAUAGCCGACCUGAGAGGGUGAUCGGCCACACUGGAACUGAGACACGGUCCAGACUCCUACGGGAGGCAGCAGUAGGGAAUCUUCCGAAAUGGGCGAAAGCCUGACGGAGCAACGCCGCGUGAGUGAUGAAGGUCUUCGGAUCGUAAAACUCUGUUAUUAGGGAAGAACAUAUGUGUAAGUAACUGUGCACAUCUUGACGGUACCUAAUCAGAAAGCCACGGCUAACUACGUG
rnacentral:rRNA from 1 species